rnacentral:rRNA from 1 species
UGGGGAAUUUUCCGCAAUGGGCGAAAGCCUGACGGAGCAAUGCCGCGUGGAGGUGGAAGGCCUACGGGUCGUCAACUUCUUUUCUCGGAGAAGAAACAAUGACGGUAUCUGAGGAAUAAACAUCGGCUAACUCUGUGCCA